UCAGAUCCUCUUGACUAAACU
rnacentral:miRNA from 1 species